CCUACGGGGGGCAGCAGUGAGGAAUCUUGGUCAAUGGGCGCGAGCCUGAACCAGCCAAGUAGCGUGAAGGAUGACUGCCCUACGGGUUUUAAACUUCUUUUAUAAAGGAAUAAAGUGAGGCACGUGUGCCUUUUUGUAUUUACUUUAUGAAUAAGGAUCGGCUAACUCCGUGCCAGCAGCCGCGGUACUACGUAGGAUCCGAGAGUUAUCCGGAUUUAUUGGGUUUAACGGGAGCGUAGAUGGGUGGUUAAGUCAGUUGUGAAAGUUUGCGGCUCAACCGUAAAAUUGCAAUUGAUACUGGCAGACUUGAGUACAGUAGAGGUAGGCGGAAUUCGUGGUGUAGCGGUGAAAUGCUUAGAUAUCACGAAGAACUCCGAUGGCGAAGGCAGCCUACUAAACUGCCACUGACAUUGAUGCUCGAAAGUGUGGGUAUCAAACAGGAUUAGAUACCCGAGUAGUC
rnacentral:rRNA from 1 species